UGAUACCUACGGGGGGCAGCAGUAGGGAAUAUUGCUCAAUGGGGGAAACCCUGAAGCAGCAACGCCGCGUGGAGGAUGAAGGUUUUCGGAUUGUAAACUCCUUUUGUUAGAGAAGAUAAUGACGGUAUCUAACGAAUAAGCACCGGCUAACUACGUGCCAGCAGCCGCGGUAAUACGGAGGGUGCAAGCGUUACUCGGAAUCACUGGGCGUAAAGAGCGCGUAGGCGGGAUAGCAAGUCAGAUGGGGAAUCCUAUGGGUU
rnacentral:rRNA from 1 species